GGGGGUAUAGCUCAGUGGUAGAGCAUUUG
rnacentral:piRNA from 9 species